rnacentral:rRNA from 1 species
AUUGAACGCUGGCGGCAGGCCUAACACAUGCAAGUCGAGCGGAAACGAGUUAUCUGAACCUUCGGGGAACGAUAACGGCGUCGAGCGGCGGACGGGUGAGUAAUGCCUAGGAAAUUGCCCUGAUGUGGGGGAUAACCAUUGGAAACGAUGGCUAAUACCGCAUGAUGCCUACGGGCCAAAGAGGGGGACCUUCGGGCCUCUCGCGUCAGGAUAUGCCUAGGUGGGAUUAGCUAGUUGGUGAGGUAAGGGCUCACCAAGGCGACGAUCCCUAGCUGGUCUGAGAGGAUGAUCAGCCACACUGGAACUGAGACACGGUCCAGACUCCUACGGGAGGCAGCAGUGGGGAAUAUUGCACAAUGGGCGCAAGCCUGAUGCAGCCAUGCCGCGCGUAUGAAGAAGGCCUUCGGGUUGUAAAGUACUUUCAGUCGUGAGGAAGGCGGCGUCGUUAAUAGCGGCGUUGUUUGACGUUAGCGACAGAAGAAGCACCGGCUAACUCCGUGCCAGCAGCCGCGGUAAUACGGAGGGUGCGAGCGUUAAUCGGAAUUACUGGGCGUAAAGCGCAUGCAGGUGGUUUGUUAAGUCAGAUGUGAAAGCCCGGGGCUCAACCUCGGAAUAGCAUUUGAAACUGGCAGACUAGAGUACUGUAGAGGGGGGUAGAAUUUCAGGUGUAGCGGUGAAAUGCGUAGAGAUCUGAAGGAAUACCGGUGGCGAAGGCGGCCCCCUGGACAGAUACUGACACUCAGAUGCGAAAGCGUGGGGAGCAAACAGG